rnacentral:rRNA from 1 species
AUUGAACGCUGGAGGCAGGCCUAACACAUGCAAGUCGAACGAGUGGCGGACGGGUGAGUAAUGUCUGGGAAACUGCCUGAUGGAGGGGGAUAACUACUGGAAACGGUAGCUAAUACCGCAUACCAUCGGAUGUGCCCCGUUGGGCUUAGUUAGUAGGAGGGGUAAAGGCUCACCUAGGCGACGAUCCCUAGCUGGUCUGAGAGGAUGACCAGCCACCCGGUAACUGAUACACGUUCCAGACUCCUACGGGAGGGAGCAGUGGGGAAGAUUGCACAAUGGGCGAAAGCCUGAUGCAGCCAUGCCGCGUGUAUGAAGAAGGCCUUCGGGUUGUAAAGUACUUUCAGCGGGGAGGCGUUACCCGCAGAAGAAGCACCGGCUAACUCCGUGCCAGCAGCCGCGGUAAUAC